rnacentral:lncRNA from 1 species
UUGGAGGAGAACACUCCGGAAUUGGUGAGGGCAUCCACAAACAUAAAGAUCAAUCAUCAAGUACUUAGUUCUUCAACAAAGGAGUAAUCAGCAGAGUUCUUCCCGGAGAUCAACCCGUAACAAUAAAGUGUUGCUCGACAUUAUUUGCGAUUAAAUACAUCACAAGGACGUCUGCAGCAUCCUAUAUUCGAGAAGGACGUUUCUUAAGCCCUCGAAUCAGGGAGAAUUUUAGAGAGGAGAAUCAAGG